rnacentral:lncRNA from 1 species
UUCCUCCGGGCCGCCGCCGCCAUUUUCCGCCCCCGCCGGCUCGCCGCCGCCCGCUCGCCGGUCCCAGCCGCCGGCGCCCGCACGGGCCGGCUAGGGAGGGCGCGGGCAGAGCGUGAGGGGGCCUGCCGCGGCCGCCCGGGAGACGGCCGAGCUCCGACCCCGCCCGCGGCACCCGGCCGGCGGCAGCCCGGGCCUGGAAGUGGAAGGGGCCGGGCCCGGCCGCGCUGGGCGGAGCGGCUGCGGCGGAGGCCCGGACCUGAAGGUUCCAUCGCACUUACUUCCUGUUUUGGGUCCGGGCACUUUGGAAGAACCAGGAUGGAGGCUCCAAAAAAUACCAGGAUGGAGGAAGCAGCCACGGGAGAGAGCGGCUGCAGCUGGGAACAUACAGUCUACCUUGGGUUAAAUGUCAUCUUUAUGACCAUAAUUACUUCAUAUGUGCUGCAUAACCAGACCAGAAUAAUACUACUGAGCUCAAAGAAAGGUAUCAAAAAGUACAAUGUAGGGAAAAUGUCAGAAGAGACAUCUUUUCUCCUCUGGGUGUUGAGAAAUAGCAUAAAUUGGUUUUAUGAUAUUCCAUAUUACUGCUGCCAGUAGGGAAGGCUCUUAUACAGAUUUGAAAAUGAAGUCUGUUUUAUGCAGGGCAGAGUGAAUAGAUGGAGGGAUUGGGUUUUGAUAAUAGACAUUUUUAUUGUUAAAUCCAA